ensembl:snoRNA
ACUAUUUUGGCUCCCAAGCACAACAGUGGGUGUUGGUGAGUGUGUGUGAGAUGUGCCUGCCUCAAACCUUCUUACAAGGUUAGCAUGUUACUCACCUGAUG